GUAAAAGACAACUUUCAAUAUGGAAGCAGAAAACAAUGACGAGACAAAGACAGAUUAAGAAACAGGAAAAAUUGUGAAUUUUUUUUUAUCAAGCUUAAAUAGUGAAUAUUCAUCAGCAUAACAACAAAAGUACUUAAAUUGCUAGAAAGCUGGACGAAGGCAAGAAAUCACUACAUGGUGGUUUCUUGUUAGGCUAACAGUUGUUUCAUAGAAAUUUCUAUAGCAGAUAACAUAGAAAUUGGAGAGCCCUUUUUUAUUAGUUUUAGACUUUUCUAUUGGCGUCUUCUUUUUUGCACCUUUCUGCGCCCGUACUAGGAAACAAAUGAAUACAAAGUUAAUUUCAUUUGCAAAUCAAUUAAUGAAUUCUCAUUUUGGUAUAAAUCACUACCAAGGUAUUUUGUUGUUAGGCUAACAGCUGCCUCAGAGAAAUUCUAAAGCAGGUAAACAUAGGGAUUA
rnacentral:misc_RNA from 1 species